AUGCCUCUAAAAUAUUGGGAUGAAGCUUUCAUUGCUGCCACCUAUCUUAUCAAUCGUUUGCCUAGUAAGGUUAUUGGGAACACAACUCCCUUAGAACGAUUGUUUCAUCAAAAACCAGAUUAUAAUUCCCUCAAAGUUUUUGGAUGUGCAUGCUGUCCUAAUCUUCGUCCAUAUAAUCGCCACAAACUAGAGUUUCGCUCUACUCAAUGUGUCUUCCUUGGCUAUAUCAAUCUUCAUAAGGGUUACAAGUGUCUAGAAGUUUCAACUGGACGCAUCUACAUCUCUCGGGAUGUGAUUUUUGAUGAAACUAUUUUCCCUUUUGCCAAACUUCAUCCAAAUGCAGGAGCCCUUCUCCGAGCUGAAAUUUCUCUUCUCUCGGAUCCUUUGCCAUGUACUGAUCACGGGGGGGAAUUAAUAGAUCAUGAUCAUGUGCCUAGUCCAGGAGAUAAUUCAGAAACUAAUGAAAAAAAAUGCAGUUUUUGGCUAUGA
rnacentral:rRNA from 1 species